GUGUCAAGUGAAGUGCGAGAGUGUUCCAUCCGCCUCUUCAAAGAUGUGAUGGAGGCUGUUGUGUGGUGGCAAAAGAGAAACAUGAAGAAGAUCGUGCGCAGGGGCCUGCUCCCUCUGCUCUUUCAUAUGAAUGAUGAGACCCUGAGCGUUGCACAGGCCUCUGGAGAAACCCUCGUUGCUUGUGGCAAGUUCCUGAAGUGGAAGGAGCUCAAGCGCGUGGCCCAGGAAAUGAGCAUAGUGGGGACCAGUGAGUGUUUGCUGCAGCAGGACAGGAAGAUGGUGAAUGAAUACCUUCAGCUGAGCCUGCCGUACCUGAAGGAUUCUCAGGCCUCUUUGCGAUAUGAGGCUGUGAACUUCAUCGGGCUGGCUGUGCAGCACUCCGGGGUCCAAAGUGAGGAGAAGCUGAAUGAAAUCUGCAGCGCCCUCCAGUCUUUGGAAGAUGACGCCCAUCCAACAGUGCGUUUUGUAGCAGCUGAGACAGCCCUGCUGCUGACAUACCAAGGGCUGCAGGAAGAACCACCACGGAGCAGGCUGGCAGCGUUGUGCUGCUGGCGCUGCAGUGCCAUCUGUCGUUAAAAAUCAUACGAUCAUAGAAUUGCUCAGGUUGGAAAAGACCUUAAAGAUCAUCAAGUCCAACCACAACCUAGUCAUACUAACCUAACAACCCUUUGCUAAAUAUUGUCCUUGAACACCACAUCCCAAUGGUUUUUAGACACAUUCAGGGAUGAUGCUUCAACCACCUCCCAGGGGAGCCUAUUCCACCGCUUAACAACCCCUUCUGUAACAAAGUUUUCCAUGACAUCCAACCUAAACUUACCAUUCUGAACAUGACUUUGAUUAAAACUUGAAU
ensembl:lncRNA